UACAGAGGGUGCAAGCGUUAAUCGGAAUUACUGGGCGUAAAGCGUGCGUAGGCGGUUAUGUAAGUCAGGUGUGAAAGCCCUGGGCUCAACCUGGGAAUGGCAGUGGAUACUGGAAAGCUAGAGUGCGGUAGAGGGUAGUGGAAUUCCCGGUGUAGCAGUGAAAUGCGUAGAGAUCGGGAGGAACACCAGUGGCGAAGGCGGCUACCUGGACCAGCACUGACACUGAGGCACGAAAGCGUGGGGAGCAAACAGG
rnacentral:rRNA from 1 species